UGAUUUUUUCACGCGUUGGCCACAACCUUAUCUUCUGGCCGUGCGCCUUCUUCUUCCGCACAAAUUUUCCAGCUCACUCAGCGUUUCUCUCUGCUCGCCUCGGCCUCCAACUCCGGCCGUGGUGGCCACCGGAAGCGCGUCUCCCGGCCCCGGCUCAGCGGUCUGCGUUCUCCCUGCUCUCCCAAGCUAUGCGCCCCUGUCCUGUUCCCUGCGCGCGCUGUUCCUGCUCGCUUUGGCGUCCACGCCAUGAAGCCCUGCGCUCGUCGCGGCAGACUCCAGUCCUCCUCUGCCGAGCAGCUUGCCCAGCCUUCUUCUCCCUACACGCCGGAGCUCGCCCAGCCGACCGAAGCUCUAAGCUCCAGCCAUGGCGCGUCCUCGCUCCCUCUUCCCUGCUCGCCGGUUCUCCUUGCCGAGCUCCCCUACGUGCUGAGCUCUCUGCUGCGGCUUUCCUUUCCCCAAGCUCCUCCAGCCGCGCAGUCCAGCUGCUUCUUCCUCCUCCUGGCGUUCUUCCUGUGCCAUGCGCCCUGCCCAUCUCCCAGUUCCAGCUGCCGCAUGCGCAGCUGCUCCUUCUGCCCAGCCGCCCCGGAUCUUGCUCGGCCAUAGCAAGUUCCUCCCUUUCCUCUGCUCGCGGGCUGCUCCAGUCGGUCGCGCGUCCAGCUUGCCCAGUCUGCACGCCACGCUCCCUUGUCGUGGCUUUCUGCUUCCUCGUCGCUCGUAGCGUUCUGUUGUUCCUGCGCGUGCUGCCGCGAAGCUCCCUGUUCAGUUCGCCUCCGUCACGUUAUCGUGCUCGCGAAACUGCUCGCAGUCAAUAUCAAGUCCGUGACGCCCACGUUGGACACGGUAAAACGCUGUGUGUGCUGGUGUCCGAACUCGCCCUGGUCAUGGCGUUUGGUACCGUGCCGUGCUGUUUCUCUACGCACGUCCUCCUGUUAGCUGUCGCGACUGCCGUCAAAUCAUCGGAGUCGUUCAACUUGCCGAUCACAUCUUGGUCGGUCGUCGAUUUCCUAUUCGUCAUGGUACAACACUGUUAUUAAAUCCGGUCUCCAACCCGCCAUGGCGUUUGUCAUCCUCUAGUCCCAGUUCGACCCAUCCGUGUGUUUGCUCUUCAUCCCUCGGGCUUCACGCGUGCUCGCAUUUGUCAUCGAGCUGUUGAACCCGUCCUUCCUUGCUCGUGACUUCAUCGUCGCCAGAGCCCUCACUAAAUUUGUGUCCUCGCUAGCUCGCUCCAUAUUCAAUCUCGUCGUCGUUCCGUGCGUCAGCAAGAAAUCUCAAGAAUCGGGUGAAGACGAGGCUAGCAGCAUGGUGUUCACCAAGUGAGCGACAAAAAGCUCGGACAUCCUGCGCAACUCAAGUUCGGUUCGUCAAAAUUAUUCAAUCGAGGAAAAGAUCUUCAGAAAUUGAUUACCGAAGAAAAGAAGGCCCCUGGAUGACGUCAACCGGAACCCAUAGUCGUGCUUGCGACUAACGCGUCGAAUUAGUCAGGGUAAGUAAAUUUGUUACUCGUGUUAGUGGAUUGGUGGAUGGUUUGACUAGGUUUAAUAUUUAUUAGAUUGCCUGAGUCGUUUUAGUAAUUUGGUCGAUGUCGUAGGAUGAAAAAGAUCUCAAUAGGUCUCAGUGUUUGCGGGAUUGUAGGUGCUAAAAAUGGGAAGUUAUAUUAAUAUAUAUAUGAUACACCGGUUAAUCGGUAAAUCAAGUAAUUAAGAUACACAAUUUAAAGAGUUAAUAAAAAGCUAGAAAUAAAAAUAGAUGUUCGAGUGUUAUUAUGUCAAUUUGAUUAAUGAAUAUAGUCGAUGCCCUGCAUAAUUAGUUAGUUUAUUCUAGGUAUGAUAUUCUAUGUAUGUUGGUCGAUUUCAUGAUUUGAAUGAAUGUUGAUUGCUAUUUUGAAUAUUUAGGAUUAAGUAACAUCGAUAUAUCUGUUUCAACCAAAAUCUAGGGUAUGUUUGAUAAGUAAUGCGUAUAAACACUUUAGAUCUUUUAGUUCUAAAGUUGAAAUUGGUAUAUUGUAUAAAAUAUGCUUGGUUAUAGGUUAUAAGUGUUUCAUCCAUUUUAGUGUAGAUUAUCUAUCUUGUACUAUUUAUACUCGUUAUACUUGUGCUCAUACAUGUGCAUCAUGCAUCUCAUGAGGUACGAUAAAUAAUCGCGUGAUGCGGAAGACGACCCAAGUCGACCCCAAGCACGGGCUAAUCCACAGGAUGAUGCUGAUGGACAAACCUGAAGGUGGAUAAUGGAACGAGUAUCAAAAUAAAGGUUGAUCGCCAAGUAGACGUCGCCUAACAAACACUAACCUAGUGUUAUUCAGGAGAAAAAAACACUCGAUAAACUCACCGAUCAACCUGGAAAUCUAAUACCACUUGAUAUAGUUGAGGUGCCCGAUCUUUCGGUGAGUGGAGAUAAUUGCGAUUUGGCGGAAGAUGACCCUUGCGAUCCGACUACGACGAGCAAGCCCUAGGCGCCAAUGCAAUCACUGAACC
rnacentral:misc_RNA from 1 species